CUAGGACCUAGCUCGGUUGGUAGAGUAUGAGACUCUUAAUCUCAGGGCCAUAGGUUCGAAACCCACACUAGA
rnacentral:tRNA from 1 species